GGUACCCCCUCUCUCUUCAUUCUUCCUGCAGUUGGAGAGUAGACACAGGAUGGGGACUGUAACUUCAGUCAGGCAGAGAAGAGUCUCUCUGGUGAUGAGGCAGUGAUGUAGGUGAAGCCUGCAUCCCAAGGCACCCUGAGGAUUACAGUCACUCGCCUGCCCUGGGUUGCCCACCUAAUGAGAGAAAAAUAACAUUUCAUCUGUUUGAGCCUCCGUGAUUUUAGUUCUCUUUGCUAAUACAGCUAAGGUUGUAAUCUAGAAAAUGACUGCUGGAUUUUCUUUUUCUUUUUUUGAGACAGAGUUUUGCUCUUGUUGCCCAGGCUGGAGUGCAAUGACAUGAUCUCAGCUCACCACAACCUCUGCCUCCCGGGUUCAAGCGAUUCUCCUGCCUCAGCCUCCUGAGUAGCUGAGAUUACAGGCAUGCACCACACCGCCCAGCUAAUUUUGUAUUUUUAGUAGAGACAGGGUUUCUUCAUGUUGCUCAGGCUGGACUCAAACUUUUGACCUCAAGUGAUUCUCCCGCCUCAGCCUCCCAAAGUGUAGGGAUUACUACGCCUGGCCUACUGUGUUGUUUUUAAGCAGGAUUGAGUGUCACAGUCAGCCAAGAAACUUAAAAAAUACAGAUAGAGCAAGAUGGCCCACUAGAGAUGCCUGACAUCCAUCCUCUCAAUAAGAAAGGACCAAGGCAGCAAAUAAACUGCUAAGGCUUGACUGGAGUCAUACGGGAGAGCACUGAAGUGAAUCAGGGGAGGGAAGAUGCAUUUGUGGUGGUUGCAAGUCCAGGAGGACCCCUUGCAGGCACCUGGCCUCUGCAGCCCUGGCUCCCCUGCCCAGGUCAAUUUGAAGUGAGGGGUACUUCCUGUUACAGGUAAAAAGAUAAGCAGAAGAUCUCCACCAGCCCUCACUGUCACGGCAACACCGAGAGUCCUCGUUAGAGGAGAAUCCCACAGUCAUCGCAAGCCCUGAGUCCAGUGUGAAGGGCUGCUGGGAAUCUACGCAGCUGCCUUGAACCAGCAGCACCUCCCCUGACUCUGGGUCCACCAAAGGAGCUCAGUGUGCAUUUGCCGAUUGAUUCCAGUAGGCCAAGAAAUGAAGGGCCACAAGGAAAGAGAGAGGGACCAAUGAGAAGUCCCCAUUUCCUCAGCCUUCCAGCAGCAAGACAUAGCUGACAAAGUGAGUGGUUCUCAAAGGGCUGAUAUUUUGAAUCAGAAAAGAAGGCUUGCAAAAUGCAUAUUUACAAAUGUCCUUCUUUUAGCAUGAAA
rnacentral:lncRNA from 1 species